rnacentral:rRNA from 1 species
ACAAGCGGUGGAGCAUGUGGUUUAAUUCGAUGAUACGCGAGGAACCUUACCUGGGCUCAAAUGUAUGUUGACGUAUUCUGAAAGGGAUACUUCUUCGGACAAUAUACAAGGUGCUGCAUGGUUGUCGUCAGCUCGUGCCGUGAGGUGUCGGGUUAAGUCCCAUAACGAGCGCAACCCCUAUCAUUAGUUGCCAUCAGGUCAAGCUGGGGACUCUAAUGAAACUGCCUACGCAAGUAGUGAGGAAGGUGGGGAUGACGUCAAAUCAGCACGGCCCUUACGUCCAGGGCUACACACGUGCUACAAUGGCCGGUACAAAGGGCAGCUACCUGGUGACAGGAUGCUAAUCUCAAAAGCCGGUCUCAGUUCGGAUCGGAGUCUGCAACCCGACUCCGUGAAGCUGGAUUCGCUAGUAAUCGCGCAUCAGCCACGGCGCGGUGAAUACGUUCCCGGGCCUU